rnacentral:lncRNA from 1 species
GGGGCACUACCAGGCACAAAGGGUGCCAGUCCCCGUACCUUUGUAAGUUCGCCUCCUCCUCUGGGAGCUUGCCCUUGUGGGGAUGGGGAAACUGAGGCUCAGUCGGCUCAGAGUAACUCCCAGGUGCUAAAGGACCAGUUGUUUUGUCCGCUCAUAAGGCAAACGGCGCGGCGAAGACCACUUGGGAUAAAACCCCAAGCCUAGCGCAGAUGGUCGGCCAGGGGAGCCUCUGGUGGGCAGUCACAAGCCCACGGAUUCCACCAGUGACCCCAGGCCUGCUCACAUGAGUGACGCGUUCCUCCCCAUGGCCAGCAGCAGAGCGGACUGAAUGCUGGGUGACAGGCUGGCCUCAGACUCCGGUGCUCAAGGAUAUUCUUGCUUCAGGUUCCCAAAUAGCACUGCACACUGCACACGUGAAUCCCCAUGCCUGAUGCCUGAAACCUGCUUGCUCAGGGGUGGAGCUUCCCACUCAAUCGUUCUGCCACGCCCACUGCUGGAACGUGCAGCUUUGCUGUUUGGAGCCAUACACGUGGUCACCCUGCUACUGGACUCCGAGAUUAUUUGGCGGGAAUUGGGCCCCCUUCCCCUGCUUUAUAAUUGCGUGCAAAACAGUAAAAUUGAGCUUUGAUCAGAA